UACGUAGGGUGCGAGCGUUGUCCGGAAUUAUUGGGCGUAAAGAGCUCGUAGGCGGUCUGUCGCGUCGAAUGUGAAAACCCGGGGCUCAACCCCGGGCCUGCAUUCGAUACGGGCAGACUAGAGUUCGGUAGGGGAGUCUGGAAUUCCUGGUGUAGCGGUGAAAUGCGCAGAUAUCAGGAGGAACACCGGUGGCGAAGGCGGGACUCUGGGCCGAUACUGACGCUGAGGAGCGAAAGCGUGGGGAGCAAACAGG
rnacentral:rRNA from 1 species